rnacentral:rRNA from 1 species
GACGAACGCUGGCGGCGUGCUUAACACAUGCAAGUCGAACGGAAAGGCCCUGCUUUUGUGGGGUGCUCGAGUGGCGAACGGGUGAGUAACACGUGAGUAACCUGCCCUUGACUUUGGGAUAACUUCAGGAAACUGGGGCUAAUACCGGAUAGGAGCUCCUGCUGCACGGUGGGGGUUGGAAAGUUUCGGCGGUUGGGGAUGGACUCGCGGCUUAUCAGCUUGUUGGUGGGGUAGUGGCUUACCAAGGCUUUGACGGGUAGCCGGCCUGAGAGGGUGACCGGCCACAUUGGGACUGAGAUACGGCCCAGACUCCUACGGGAGGCAGCAGUGGGGAAUAUUGCACAGUGGGCGGAAGCCUGAUGCAGCAACGCCGCGUGCGGGAUGACGGCCUUCGGGUUGUAAACCGCUUUCGCCUGUGACGAAGCGUGAGUGACGGUAAUGGGUAAAGAAGCACCGGCUAACUACGUG